AACGAACGCUGGCGGCAUGCCUAACACAUGCAAGUCGAACGCCCUGGUUCGCCAGGGAGUGGCGCACGGGUGAGUAACGCGUGGGAACCUGCCCGGCAGUACGGGACAACCGCGGGAAACUGCGGCUGAUACCGUAUACGGCCUGAGGGCGAAAGAAUUUCGCUGUCGGAGGGGCCCGCGUCGGAUUAGGUAGUUGGUGGGGUAACGGCCUACCAAGCCUGCGAUCCGUAGCUGGUCUGAGAGGAUGAUCAGCCACACUGGGACUGAGACACGGCCCAGACUCCUACGGGAGGCAGCAGUGGGGAAUAUUGGACAAUGGGCGCAAGCCUGAUCCAGCAAUGCCGCGUGAGUGAUGAAGGCCUUAGGGUUGUAAAGCUCUUUCGCCCGCGACGAUGAUGACGGUAGCGGGAGAAGAAGCCCCGGGCUAACUCCGUGCCAGCAGCCGCGGUAAUACGGAGGGGGCUAGCGUUGUUCGGAAUUACUGGGCGUAAAGGGCGCGCA
rnacentral:rRNA from 1 species